GACGGGGGGGGCAAGUGUUCUUCGGAAUGACUGGGCGUAAAGGGCACGUAGGCGGUGAAUCGGGUUGAAAGUGAAAGUCGCCAAAAAGUGGCGGAAUGCUCUCGAAACCAAUUCACUUGAGUGAGACAGAGGAGAGUGGAAUUUCGUGUGUAGGGGUGAAAUGCGCAGAUAUCAGGAGGAACACCGGUGGCGAAGGCGGGUCUCUGGGCCGAUACUGACGCUGGAGGAGCGAAAGCGUGGGGAGCGAACAGGA
rnacentral:rRNA from 1 species